UCGGACUUCGCCGACCACCACCACCACCAGGGGCAGUACCACGACGUCCACGGCCUCAAGGAGCUGGAGGAGAACUGCCCGGCCGUGCGCUUCGACGAGCUCUCCAUAUCCAACGCCGGCACCAGCGCCGGGACGCCCAUCCUCCCAGAGGGAUGCGUGGUGUGCCUCAGUGACUUCCACGGUGCGGCGCGUGUGCGCCGGCCGCGGGGGUGCCAGCACGUCUUCCACUUUGGCUGCCUCGACCGCUGGGUCGCUCACGGCCACCGCACCUGCCCGCUCUGCCGGGCUCCGUUCCUCCUGAUCGUGCCGCCCCCGGCCGGCGUCAUGAUUCCCACGGGGACUUGUUUGCAUAAUUUGGCGACUGUCCUCCUGGAUGACAAGCUCUGA
rnacentral:rRNA from 1 species